UCCUUAGGUGCCACUCCCAUUGCUCUUGGGAUAAAGUUCAAAUUGCCUAAUGUGACCGACUCCAUCUGGCAUAAACAAGUCCCUGGCUUCUCUCUAGCCUCUUUCUGGGGUACUCUUAUCUUCUCCAGCCAGGCUGACCACCAUCUUUUAGUCCCUCUAAUCCUCGAGGUCUUUGAAAAUGCUAUUCCCUCGUCCUAGAAAGGUUUGCCCCCAAUCCUACUCCUGGAUAACUUCUACUCAUCCUUAGGGUGUAGUCGGAUCAUAACUUCUCUGACCUCCCAGACUAGGUUAGAUUCCUGUCACAUGUUUCCAUAGUAACCCAGUCUUUUUCACUGUGGUUAUUCCAACUGCCAUUCCAUAGCUAUGUUUCACAUCUGUGAGCUCAGAUGAAAGCUAGGACAUGACUGCCUUGGUCAUUCCUGUAUUCCCAGUACCUAACCCAGCAACUGGCCCCUGUCAGUGGGACUCUGGGGAAUGAGGAGAAGGAGACAGAUAGAAGGGGAUUCAUCCUUGGGAGAAGGCUAAAUAAGGCAGGUCUAUGCCAAAGCAGAAGAAAUGCAGAGACCAUCAAGUCACAGGUAAACAACUGAAUGGAACACGUGUGGUUUAAGCUUUCAGAGAAUGGAGCUCUAGUCCUGUCUCUGUCCCUUACUUAAAAAGUCUAUGGACUUUUUAAGACCCAGUUUCUUCUUGUGGAAAAUGGGUCAUAACAUCCUGGCACAUGGCUGUUGUCACUGUGUAAUGCCUUCAUAUAUAAUGUCUAUAUACAAUGCAUAUAUAAUGCCUUGUACAGUGUCCAUACUUCUGUUUGGAUACUCAGAACAGAUCAUUUAAGGUAAGGAGCCAUCACAUAAUUUGGGUAUUUUGUAAAAUAUCACUAAGAAUAAUUCUAUCGACUGAGUGCUUAUACUGUUUUAGGCACUGUUCUAAGGAUUUGCAGUGAGAAUUGAUUUAAUCCUUCCAAAGACCCUUUGAGAUAGGGAAUUCUAUUAUCCUUAUUUUACAAAGGAGAAAAUGGAAGUACAGAGGGAGAAGAUCUAAGUUCACAUGAGACUGUAUUGCCAGAAGUGACAGAGCUGGGAAUCAAACCCAGGCUGUCUGCUUCAGAGCACAGAUUGAAAUGCUUUCUUAUUAUAUUAAAAAAAAAAAAAAAAAAAACACAAAACAGACAUAUUAUAAAUAUCAAAACGCCACAUGUGAAGUUUUUGGAUCGGGCAACCCUGAUCUGAUGUUACAUGGGAUUAUAAACUAAAGUCUCAAGGAAGUUGUCUUUUGGAACAAUCUUAAAUCAUCUUAUUUAGCCUCCUAAUACUCAGAUCAGAAAUAGUCCCAUUUUGUGUAGAUUGCUAGACAAUUAAACUACUGUUUUGCCUAAGCCUGUGUCUGAGUCACACAGGUUUAUCUGGAAUAAGUCGUGGCACUGCAGAAACAUUUUUUAUUAUCUAACUAAGAAUCACCUUCUAUACACAAAGAAAAACAGGGCUCUGUUUGAUGUGAAGAGACGUGGCAAAGUGUCUGGGAUCUGUUCAUGGAAAUGAUUUCCUAACAGAAAAGAUAUCUGGGGCAAUGGAGUUUGGUAAGUAGGAAAGGAUAUUCAGGUUUGAGGUAGUUUUCAUCACUGAACUCGUUAGACAGUUUGGUUGUAUUUAACAGAAAUAAUCAAACUUGUUUAGAUAAUUAAGGGACUUUACUGAUGGUCAUAUCCAAAAGUCAGAGGUAAGGCCAGGGUUUCUGUAGCCAGAGCUCAAUAUUAUGAGCAAAGGUCUAUUUUCUGUCUGUUUCUUCACUCUGCUUUCUACCUGUUUGUUACCAUCUUAGCAUAUAAGAUGGAUAUAAGAUAGCAGCCAGACGCUCUAGGUCUGCAUGUUCAUUUAUAAGUGGGGACAGGAAGAACUUCACUCUCAUUAGGGCUCCUUAAAAUGGGAGAAAGCUUCACUCCCAGAAGCUUCAUUCUCAGCUUAUGUCUCCUUGCAUCUCAUUGGCUUAAAUGGUGUCACAUGACCAUUUCUAAACCAACUGUGCUGCCAGGUAGAUGGCCUUCACGGAUUAGCAUACACCAAUCAAAGUCUACCUCUGGAGUCGGAGGUGAGUCAGUCCUACCCAAAAUGCAUAGCUAAGAAUGGCAGAGUUGGUUCUCCAAAGGAAAUUUGUGGAACUGUUACCCUCAAGAAAGAGAAAUGGGUGGUAAAUGGUAAACCAAGUUAUACACAGUCAUCUCUGUCUAGGAGAGAGUCUAAGCUUGCAAGUUCAAAGCACUGUCUUAAAGCAGGUUAUGGAAAUCCAAACAUUUACACUAAGAAGGAAGUUUUCAUCAGUUGGAUUAUAAAAUCUGGGUUCACUCAGCAUGAUUGGAUCAUCUGGCCCAUAGCUAUCUGGAGGUCAUUCUCAGAGCUUAGAGGAAUAUUAAAGUGGGAAUGUUUUAUUUCCCAGGGAAACUGAUCUGGGAGAGAAGUCGCCUUGUCUAAGCCCCCCAAGGUGAUAAACCAAAGCAGGCAUGAGAAUAACACUCUUCCUUGCUGUCUUAAGAAAGCACACAGAGAUUAAGUGAGGUUUCAACUAGUCAUGACAAGCGCCAAACUAUUCAAGAGAUUACCCAAACAAUUUAGCUAAUUCCCCUGAUUAUUUCAAACAUUAACUCACAAAUAAGGCAGGACAAGAGUUAAGUAGAGGCACACACAUGCACUUUAGACAGGCCUGUGAGUGGUAGCAUGUUGUGUUCUUAUUUAUUUACAGGGCUUAGUAUCCAAGGGACAUGCUGUAUAGCCAUUUAUCAAAACUGGGGCUUGAGUUUGACUCUGGUUUAAGUUUUCCAUGAUCUGCUCACAGUAUUUCUUCCUUUAGGCAGUUCUUCCAUCUGGCCGAUCCCAAGUUAAUUUUCAUGUAAUUCAUCAUUUUUAGAAGCUACCUCCCAACAUGUUGGGCCCAGCUCAACCAGUCACAGCUUUUGAUGAGACAUCAUUCAACUGUCUUAGCAUCUCAGAAGGAAGAACUCCACAAUUAUCUUUUAUGGAAAGACUCUGAACACACAUUUUGAAGUUGCCCAGGACUUUAUGUGCAGAAGAAUCAAGAUUUGGGGUCUCCAAUAUGGUAGCCAUUAAUGACAUGAGGAUGUUGAGCACUUGAAAUGUGGUUCAAACUGAGAUGUCCUGGAAAGCACUGAUCUAGACUGUGAGCUCCCUGAAGGUAGGAAUAUGUCCUGUUGGUCUCUGCAAGAAUCGGGCCCAUGGUAGGCACUCAAGAAUACAUCUCUGCAUAAGUAAUAAAGAAGAUAAAAAUACCCCUGGUCGAAGUCUACACCUGGACCAUUGUUCCCAUGGUGAAGACCAACAGUUGGGCAAGAAAGGGAAAUUGGAUUUUGGAGAGAAAAAAGGGAUUGCUCAAGGUCACACAGAUGUUGUGACAUACUGCAGACCCCUCAGUGUCCUUCAAGAAAUGAUGACAUAGCUGAUAAAGGACGUUCAUGGAGAAGUUAAGAAAAAAGAAGUGUGCAUUAUUAUGAGGCAACCGCUGCCACUUCCUAGCUGCACAGCCUCAGAUGAGUCUCUUAAACUCUGACUCUCAGCUUCCUCCUGUGUAAGAAUAAUAGAACCUACUCCGUAGGGUAUGUGAGGAUUAAAUGAUGCUAUACCUGCAAGUCCCUCAGCACAGGGCCUGGCCUGCUGUAGGAACUCAAUACCUAAAAGUAGUCAUAAAUGUUUAUCAGGUAAGAAGCACAAGAGAGAGAGGGGGUCUGUGAGUCAGAGACAGUGCUGGAGGGAGCAGAGGCAGUGAUUUAUGUCCGGCUGUUCCCAUACUUAGUUCUAUUUGGGAAAACAGAGUGGUGAAGAUAACAGGAAAAGGGGGCAUGUGCUUAAGUAAAUCGUCUAUUGUUGCCCAGAUGACAUUCUGGUAACAAGGAAACCCCCUGAAAUCAGUUUGUGCAUAGCUCCAGAUAUGACUCUCCAGGGCUUUCAGUGGCAAGUUCAGGGGUUCCAAGAAGGGUCCAGGAAUGAGGCAGUCACAGAUGGGAACAUUUAUUUCUUUGGGACUCUUCCUCUUCGGAUGUCCUCAGAGCUUCAAAUGAACUAGAGGGGAUCUUCAGGCUAGAACCUGGUCGGGGAGGCGUGUUUCCCCUUUACCUUGCCCCUGUUUAUCUGACUCCCAACGUGGGAAAGAUGUCAACUUUCCUAUUCAGUCAACAGAUGAGACUCUGGGAGGUUUAUAAAUAGCUUCUGUAAACACUUUCUGAAACUUCCCCUAGGACUUCUAAACACUCAAUAGGGACAGAUUGCAAGAGAAAAAAACAAUUUUCUAAAGGCAAGUUGACAGGGCUGAAAAAGGUGAACAGAAUAUAGAUAAAAAUCAUAGUGAAAGUGGGAAUUUGGGAGUGGUGCCCUGCUUAGGAACAUUUUCUAAUUUCAAGUUUAUAAAUAAAAUAUAGAGAUGAAUAAAAAUAUAGAUGAACACUCAAAGACAGGAUGUGGUUUAGAUUGGCUCCUUCAUGAUAAUAAUUUUUCCACAUCAAACAACAAUUAAUAUUAAUAGAAUAGACAUUCAUAGACAUGGCUACCAACUCAGGGUGCUUACUGUCUAGGGAAGUGGGGGACACAGGUGAUAGAUGAUCAUCAAAAUACUAGCUUAAAUACUAGAGAAAAUGUGGUAAGUGAUCUGGAAGAAAGAGAGCGGGGUCAAGGGGAUCAGGGAUACUGGGUAGAGAGACAAGUAACAUUUUACAUAGGAUUGGCCAUGGUAAAAUUCAUUGAAAUGGUAAAUUUGAACUUGAUGGAGGUAAGAGAUAGAGUCAUCUGGGUAAGAGCUUUUCAGGCAAAGUACACAGCAAAGACGAGACCCUAAGGAGCCGGGGAUGGCUGGAGUGGGGAAGAGAGCAGUCAAAGUUGAAGUCCGCAAGAUAAGGGGACAAAUCAUGCAAGGCCAUGCCAGCGAUGGUGAUGAUUCUAGCUUUUGCUCUGCAACAAUCUCAAAGCCUCUGAAUAGUUUCAGUCACAGGAGUGGCAUAACCUAAUUAUAGUCAAUAUUUAAAAAUCAUUCUAUUGACCUGCUGGGUCGAGCUUAGGUUGAAGAGAGCAGGGUAGAAGAAAGAAAUCCAAAGAGUUUUGUGUAUGACAGAGACAAUGCAGUAUGUUCCUGAAACCUUUCAAGUUUGUCCUAGACGCACAAGAAGAGAUUUCCCAUUCUCUUUUUGCAAUAAGGUGAGCAUGACAUGAUGGCGUUUUGUCUGGAAGUGAGAGUACCACUUCCAGUCCUGGCCCUAACACCUGAUGCGUGACCCUCAAAACUAGGGCCCCUCUGAAGCAUCCCUGGAGACCCUGUGUUGAGGACAAAAGCACCGUAAGAUGGAAGGAGCCAGGCCCCCCGUGAUAUCGUGUGGGACAGGGCUGCUUCAUCCCACACCAGCCACGUUGCCCGGUGGCUUGAAUAUGUGUGGAAACUGUGCAAAAGAAAAAAGGUGAUCAGACUCCGCGAGCUGACGUGACUGCCACACCACCAGAAAGAGCCUCUAGGUGCAAAGGACAUAUGGCGUCACCAUCAUCGCGGAAGCUGCUGCUUUCUUAAGCUGGAGAGGUAGAGGCUGAGCGACCCUGCAAGCCCAGCCCAGACCAAUCACGAAGCACAGCAGCAGAGGGGUUUAGGAAACCGACUUUGGAUUCAGCCAGAAUUAGUGAGCCACAGCCACCCCCCACCUCUUCAGGAGACCCUCCAACACUAGCAGUGUCUUCCUGUCAAUGACUGUUCAGCAGUGAGUUGUGAUUCUGGUGUUCUCGCAAGAGGGAGUGAGAGCACGUCCUUCUACUCAGCCAUCUUGUUUCCAGGAAUCCUGUCAUUGAAAUUCUUGCAAGGAGUCUGGUCGGAGCUGGUGCUGGUCCCCGUGCAUGACCUCAGUCCAGCCAGCAGCCAGCAAGAGAGAAACACACCGCGGUUCCCAGGGCGGCCUCUGCUGAACGUCUGCAGCCUUUCCCGGAAUUGCUCCUCCUGCUCAGCCUAGUGUACAAGGAAUGAGCAGAUUAACUAUAAGCGAAUUGGAAAAGAAAGAGGAGCUGUUGUGAACAGUGAAAAUGUCAAUAGAAGGCUUGACAGCUUGAGAAUAGAAGAGGAAAAAUAAAAGCAAAGCAAAGAAACUUAGCUCCUCUACAAUAUAGCACUGGGUUGCUGAACCAACAAAAAGCUAGCUAAGUUUAAGAUCAUCAGAGAUGUGCACAGACUAUUUUAGAUUGACUUUCAGCUAUAAUAAUUUGCUUUAAACUGUUUUUGCAAACCUCCUUUGAAGAGGGGGUUAAGCAUCAGUAAUCAUUUAUUAGAAAGGCCUCUUUUGGGCUUCCCUGGUGGCGCAGUGGUUGAGAGUCCGCCUGCCGAUGCAGGGGACGCGGGUUCGUGCCCCGGUCCGGGAAGAUCCCACAUGCCGCGGAGUGGCUGGGCCCGUGAGCCAUGGCUGCUGAGCCUGCGCCUCCGGAGCCUGUGCUCCGCAGAGGCCGCAACAGUGAGAGGCGCGCGUACCGCAAAAAAGAAAAGAAAAGAAAAGAAAGGCCUCUUUCUAUGAGAAGAUACAGAUGAGUUUACUCUGAGCAUUUAACUGGGCUUCCCUGAAGGGUAUGUGUACCCUUCAUGACCUAAAAGACCCGUGAAUAUAAUCUCUCUGGCAUACUUUACACCUUAUGGUUCUUUUGUAUUCUAGAUAGUCUGGGGAGUUUGAAGUCAGGGGUAAUGCAAAAACAAACAAACAAACAAACAAAACCCUCCCCAAAACCCUCCUUUUCGUCUUAUCUCUGUAAGUCCAUUAUGGUGCAGCUGUCAGAAAGCGCUUACCCCAGAGAUUUCCUUUAUCACCAGCUCUUACAGUGAAUGAAGUGGGUCGGCCAUGAUCUAUUCUGGCUUCAAGAUCUGGUCUUACAUCUUUUUCCCCUUUUGUGACAAAAUACAAAAAAACAAACUAGCAAACAAAAACAACAAAAUAAAGGAACAUACAUUAACAUACACACACAGACACACACACACACACAC